CCUGGCUCUUGUCACUACGUACAGUCCUUUUCAGAAUAUACCAGAGUACAGCUGAAGAUUAGCAACUGAAAUGUAGGACAUGAAAUAAUUGGUCACACUAUGCUUAGAGCUGACCAAUCUUAAUUUUUUCUAGUGAUAGAAUACCACUUGAUUGAAAAGAGUUCAUUGGUUUCAUGUAAAAUGUGGUCAGCAAAGUUGUUAAGUUGAUCUUCUUUCAAGCUUUGCUUUUUUGAUAUUCUCAAGAUCCCUUAAAUCGUGACCAUUGCUAAUUGCAACCUUGGAACAACUUAUUUUCCUUAUGAGUUCCCAUGAUCUGCCAAAGAAAUUUGCAAACCACCUGCCUUGUAAAAGCUCAUACGUAAUAUCAUGUGAACUUACCCCACUGUAAGAUGGUGUAAUCCUGCAACAGAACCUUCCACCAAUAGGAGUGUGACACAACUCCAUGUGUAACAACUUCCUAUACAUUCUUGCUUGUGAAUCCUUAUUUUUCAACUCAGCACUGUCGAGAACAGACAUGUUUAAGUUUGCUGAGAUUUGCCUCUUUUUUAUUUUUAACUUUCACUUGAUUGAGUUUAGAUAUACUCAGUAUGAAUUCACUUGAGUAGAACCCCCAGUGGCACGUGGUAUGUCUGCGGACUUAUACUGCUAGAAACCAAGUUUCUAUACCAGUGUUGAGCAGAGCACAAAUAGUUCUUUGUGU